UAGGGAAUCUUCGGCAAUGGGGGCAACCCUGACCGAGCAACGCCGCGUGAGUGAAGAAGGUUUUCGGAUCGUAAAGCUCUGUUGUAAGAGAAGAACGAGUGUGAGAGUGGAAAGUUCACACUGUGACGGUAACUUACCAGAAAGGGACGGCUAACUACGUGCCAGCAGCCGCGGUAAUACGUAGGUCCCGAGCGUUAUCCGGAUUUAUUGGGCGUAAAGCGAGCGCAGGCGGUUAGAUAAGUCUGAAGUUAAAGGCUGUGGCUUAACCAUAGUACGCUUUGGAAACUGUUUAACUUGAGUGCAGAAGGGGAGAGUGGAAUUCCAUGUGUAGCGGUGAAAUGCGUAGAUAUAUGGAGGAACACCGGUGGCGAAAGCGGCUCUCUGGUCUGUAACUGACGCUGAGGCUCGAAAGCGUGGGGAGCAAACAGGAUUAGAUACCCUGGUAGUCCACGCCGUAACGAUGAGUGCUAGGUGUUGGGUCCUUUCCGGGACUCAGUGCCGCAGCUAACGCAUUAAGCACUCCGCCUGGGGGAGUACGACCGCAAGGUU
rnacentral:rRNA from 1 species